UGGGGAAUUUUGCGCAAUGGGCGAAAGCCUGACGCAGCAACGCCGCGUGGAGGAUGAAGGUGCUCUGCAUUGUAAACUCCUGUCGGCCGGGAAGAAUCGGCGGGGUGCUAAUCAGCCCCGUCUUGACUGUACCGGCAAAGGAAGCCCCGGCUAACUCCGUGCCAGCAGCCGCGGUAAUACGGAGGGGGCAAGCGUUACUCGGAAUUAUUGGGCGUAAAGGGCGCGUAGGCGGUUCCGUGCGUCAGAGGUGAAAUCCCCGGGCUUAACCCGGGAACUGCCUCUGAUACGGCGGGACUUGAGUCCGGGAGAGGGGAGCAGAAUUCCCAGUGUAGCGGUGAAAUGCGUAGAUAUUGGGAGGAAUACCAGUGGCGAAGGCGGCUCCCUGGACCGGUACUGACGCUGAGGCGCGAAAGCGUGGGUAGCAAACAGG
rnacentral:rRNA from 1 species